rnacentral:rRNA from 1 species
CCUACGGGAGGCAGCAGUGGGGAAUAUUGCUCAAUGGGGGAAACCCUGAUGCAGCAACGCCGCGUGAGUGAAGAAGUAUUUCGGUUUGUAAACUCCUUUUGGCAGGGAAGAAAAUGACGGUAUCUGACUAAGAAGCACCGGCUAACUCCGUGCCAGCAGCCGCGGUAAUACGGAGGGGGCAAGCGUUAUCCGGAUUUACUGGGCGUAAAGGGAGCGUAGGCGGGAGAGCAAGUCUGAAGUGAAAUCCCAUGGCUUAACCAUGGAACUGCAUUUGAAACUGUUCGGCUGGAGUGUAGGAGAGGUAAGCGGAAUUCCUGGUGUAGCGGUAAAAUGCGUAGAGAGUAAGAGGAACACUAGUUGCGAAGGCGACCUACUAGACCGUAACUGACGUUGAGGCGCGAAAGCGUGGGGAGCAAACAGGAUUAGAUACCCUAGUAGUC